CUGAGGUCCAGCAGCAGGGGCUCCAGGUGAUCUGGGGCUCCACCUUCACCAUCAGCUGCUCCAUCCAGCCACAGUACCCAGGAGGCUCCUUCCAGCUCACCUUCACCUCCUCCAACACCUCCUACAACUCCACCCAGCCAGCUGUCAAUCACUCUGCACACUUCCUGUUUCCUGCCGCAGAGCCCGCCCACCGGGGAAACUACAGUUGUGUUUAUCACCUCCAUGUUUUUGGACACAACUUCUGGUCAGAGAGCCGCCUGCUGUCUCUGUCUGUGUUCGAUCCAACAGCUGUGAUCGUCAGAUGGGUGGUGGUGCCGCUGUUUCUCCUGCUGGUGCAGGGGGCGCUGUGGCUGUACUGUAAGGCCAGCAGGGGGCAGACCGGCAGACCGGCAGACCGGACGGACGCUGAGCGGAGUGCAGUGAAGGGAUGAAGUCGGUCCUCUGAACCUUCCUGCUGUGAAGACAAAAUGGUUUUUAUGAGCUUUUUACAACAGUGAUGAAUGUCAUCACGUUCCCACAGACAGUGGAACAAGGUUCCUUUUCCUUUUGUGGACCGUGGUGAAAAAAAGCGUUGUAUUGUCAUAUACUUGGCCACGGUGGAUGUCCUUUUUUAAUCUCCUUUUUACUCCUUUUUCAUUGAUGUUUUUAAGUCAUAUCAUGGAUGCUCAUUUCAUCAUAUAUUAUCAUCUGCUCCGCUCAGGCUGACUGUGUUUAACUGAGGAGAUACUUUUGUGAUUGUAAUCCAAUUUAUUAGCUUGUUCUGCACCAAGGUGAGGCAGGAUGUGGUUUGCAGCAGGUGUUGAACCGUAUGGAACCGGACCAGUUUGUAUUUGGUCCUGAGUGGUUCCAUCUGGGCCUGAAAAACUCGUGUGGAUCUCACUGCCUGCAUGUUUUGUUUUUCUUCUCUCUUCUUUGUCUUUUUGUUGAGAACUGAGGCUGUGGUUGGUUUCCUUGGUAACAAAACAGCAUCAGAGGACAUGUCCAUGGGACCGGAGCGUUUAAGUAGACCCUGUUUUCCAGUGGGUGGUGCUCUCGCUUUCCCUUUCUGAAUUGGCAGAGAAAAGAUGGAGCCCUGACCUGAAAUCUGGAGAGAGUUGACCUCCGAGGUUGAUGUCAGCCAGAUACCAAAUUUAGACUAAAAACAGAUUAUUAUGAGCAGCAGAAUCUAAGAACCGCUCACCUAAAUUGACCAUAUUAAAAUAAUACGUGCCUGAAAUUUGAGACAUGGAAGAACCAACGCAAAAUCAGUUCUUCGAUUUCUUCAUUUUUGGUAUUUUACAUUUUUAUCAGUUUUGAAUUAUAACCUGUAAUCCUUUGAGUGAAUAUAAAUCUGGUGAACAUUUCAAAUCUCCGGUGGAGUGGCGUUAUUUCUCUGAGACCAAAGAAGGAACUUGGAAUCAGGUUUGAGGUACGUUUCUUUGCCCCUGAGAGGGAAGCCUCCAGGAGAACCUGCACUCCGGCACAGCACCAGACCCGGCUCACCCAGCCCGUCAGGAACGCUCACUCUGGUUUUCUACCAGCUGGGAGCGUUCCAAACUUCACGCAGUGCUUUGUGAAAUAAUCUGGUUUCUGUGUGCGAAGUCAAGUAAUGUGAGCAUCCAAAACCAACAAUGAAAAAAACCUUCAGUUUCACAGGAUUCUGAUCUCAACCUCAACAUUCUUCACAUAGAUCUUUGUUCCAGAACCACUUGCGAGCGUUUUGUGUGUGUGCAAGUGGAGUUAAACUUGGAAAAAAAAGUGUUUUAAUCCCAUUUUCAAGCCUCUCUGACUGAAAGUUCAGUUGGCUCUGUCUCCAUCUUGUGGCAGAAAUCUGUCACUGCAACUAUUGACCCUGAUCCACAGCUCUUUCUUCUAUUUUGAAGGAAUGAUGAACUGAAACAUUUCAGUCCACAUUUCCAGAUGGAUUGAUUCACUUCGAGCAAUGUUUUCAGUGGAAAAGUUAUUCUUCAUCUUUCAAAUCUAACUUUCAUUUGAAUGUAGGAAAAAACAUGUAAAAAGUAAAACUGUUGAAUGAAAAAGUAAUCUGCACAACCACUUUGACAUCUUGAUCAAUCGAAGUGGAAAUAAAGCAACAAACAAGUGUAGAUUUUCAUCAGUGAGGACAAAAACAUCCUGAUGGUCAGAAUGUUCUAAUAGUUUCUUUUCUUUCCUCCAGAGCAGCAGGUGGAAGAGGCGGAGGAGUGGAGACAGGAGACGGUUCAGAGACUCUUUUCACUCUCAAACACAAAAACCAAAAAAAAAGACGGUCUUUUUUACACAUUGCAUGAAACAGACACGCACACAGAGUAAUCAUGUCACUGUCCAUGGUGCUGAAGUCAACUUAAACCAAUACUUCAACAUUUUGGUAAAUUGGCCCAUUUAGCGCGA